AGUCACUGACAUUAGAUACCCCCGUAGUCCCAGCCGUAAACAAUGUGCGUUAGGUGUGUCGGUAACCACGUGCUACUGAUGCGCCGAAGAGAAAUCGUGAAACGCACCACCUGGGAAGUACGGUCGCAAGGCUGAAACUUAAAGGAAUUGGCGGGGAGCACCACAACAGGUGGAGCCUGCGGUUUAAUUGGAUUCAACGCCGGACAUCUCACCGGAUAAGACAGCUGAAUGAUUGUCAAUCUGAAGGUUUACAUGACUAGCUG
rnacentral:rRNA from 1 species